CAUAGGCAGUCUCCUGGUGCUCCACUUCUCUUCUCAGUCUGUUGUAAUCUUCUUUAACACUUCCCAGCUUUUUGACAUUCCUGGAACUCAACACCAACAGCUUGCUGAGGAGUCCCUCCAGCCCUUCUCUCUCUGAUGUUAAUGAUCUAAUCUCCUCGGUGAGGUCUUUAGCCGUCCAGAAAUGGUUUCCUACAGCACGUUGUGGGAGAGAAGAAGGGAAAACAAGCUUUACAGCAUCCACACACAUGGAAGAUCUAGCAGCAGCUAAUGUACAUUCACAGCAUGGGCAAAGAAACUGCACUUUGAGAUUAUGUACAAUUUCCUUAGCAGUCCUCUGGGGAAAGAACCUGGAAAAAUAUUGCUCUCCUUAAACUGGAAAAAUCACCGUCUUUUUUAUCACCUUAUUCUUGUUAUGUCCAUUUUAGGAGUUCCAUUGGUGAAGCCAUCUCCCGUAAAGUAUGAUGACCCAAAAAUGUCCCAGUGGAAUCCAGAGAAACCACAAUGUGUCACUCCAUUCCAAUAAUAUACAAAUGUCAAAGAGAUGACAUAUUAUAGCAGUGUGGAAGGGGACUGGGCCAUAUAAUCAGAGUUGACCUAAAUUAAAUUCCUCCCCUGUUACUCAAACUGUGUGACCUGGAGCAAGAAAAUUAGCACAUCUGGGGCAAAUUUCUUAUAAAAUAUAAUUGCAAUAACACCUGACUCAUAGGUAGUUACAAGAAUAAACAAGAAAUUCUGUAAAGCACUGAGAAAAAUAUAUGAUAAAUUAAAUGUAGCAAGAUUGCAGGAUACAAGGUCAAUGUACAAACAUCAAUCUUAUGUCUAAAUAACAAAAAACUAGAAGAUGAUUUUUUAAAAAAUACAAUUUACAAAAUAUUUUAAAUCUCAUAAUACUGAGGGAUACUUUCUUUAAAUAUGUGCAAGAGCUCUACAGUGAAAACUAUUUUUCAAAAACUGCUGAGACAAAUUAAAGACAAAUAAUUUAAAAGAUACACUGUAUACAUACACUGGAAGUUCAAUAUUGGUAAGAUUUCAAUUUUCCCCACAUUGAUUCAUUGAUUUAAUAUAAUUCCAAUCAAAAUGUUAUGAGGUUCUUUUGUAGAAAUUUAUGUGCUUAUUCUAAAACGUCUAAGAGUGAGCUGGGCAUGGUGGCUCACACCUGUAAUCCCAGCAUUUUGGGAGGCCGAGGUGGUGGGUCCCUUGAGGUCAGGUGUUCAAGACCAGCCUGGCCAACAUGGCGAAACCCUAUCUCUACUAAAAAUAUAAAAAUUAAUCUGGCACAGUGGUAAGCACCUGUAAUCCCAGCUACUCAAGAGGCUGAGGCAGGAGAAUCACUUAAACCCAGGAGGUGUAGGUUGCAGCGAGCUGAGAUCCUGCCACUGCACUCCAGCUUGAGCAACAGAGUGAGACUUCAUAUCUAAACAAAUAAAAUCUAGAAGAAUGAGCCCAUGAGUUUGAGGCUGUAGUGCACUAUGAUUGCACUUUUGAACAGGCACUACACUCUUGUCUGGGCAACAUAGCAAGUCCCCACCUCAAAGAAGGAGAGGGAGAAAGAAGAAGAAGGAGGAGGAGGAGGUGAAAGAGGGAGGGAGGGAAGGAAGGAGAAGACGAAGAAGAAUGAAGAAGAAUAGGAAGAAAGAAGAAGAAGGAAGAGGAGGAGGAGGAUGACCAAAGCAAUCCUUAAAAAGUGAGUCUUGGUUUCAAGACUAAUGCUAAAGCCACUAUAAAUCAAGGUAAUAUGGCAUUGAAUAUACAUAGACAAACAGAUCGAUGGAAUAGAAUAAACAGUCCAGGAGUGGAUUAACACAUAUACAGCCAACCAAAGUGCCAAAGCAAGUCAAUGAGGAAAAGAAAGUAUUUUCAAUAAAUGGUGCUGGAACAACUAGCUAUCUACAUGGAAAAAAUAUUAACCUUGAUUCAUACCUCAAACCACACAAAAAUUUAAUUAAAGGUGGAUCACAGGCCUACAUGUAAAAGUUAAAACUAUAAAGCUUCUACAAAAAAAAAAUGAAUAUUUGAUUGACUUUGGAGUAGGCAAGAACUUCAGAUAAGAUACAGAAAACACUAUUUUAAAAAGGAUAAAUGGGCUUUAUCAAAAUUAAAAACUUCUCAUCAAAAGACACAACUAAAAAAUGAGACGACAAGUCACAGACUUGGAGAAAAUCAUUGCAUUAUGUUUAACUGACAAGGAAUUGAAUACUACAACUUGACAAUUAAAACACAAAUGGUGCCAUUGAAAAAUGGUCAAAUGACUUAACAGGCAUUUUACAAAGUAGACGCACAAAUGGCUAAUAAGCAUAUGAAAAAACAUUUGACAUCAUUAAUCAUUAAGAAAAGAAAAAUUAAAACCAUAAAUAUUCCACUACAAGCCCACUCAAAUGUUUCAAAUUAACUCAACUAAAAAUGUCAACAUUCACAAGGGUAUGGAGCAACUGGAACUCUCACGCAUGUAAAAUGGUCCCUUCAAGAAAAGUUCUGCCAGUUUCUCAUAAAGUUCAAUGUAUACCUACCCUUUAAUCCAACAAUUCUACUUCCAGGCAUUUACACAAAAGAAAUGAAAACAUGUCAUCAAAAAUAUUUGCACUCAAAUAAAUGGUCACAGUGUCUUAUGCCUGAGAGCCAGCCCCAUACUGGAAGCAACCUAAAUAUCCAUCAGCAGGAAGAUGCAAAAAUAAUACUAUAGCUAUGCAAUGAAAGACUACUCAGCAAUAAAAAGAAACAAACUCGUCAUACAUGCAGCAACAUGUAUGUGUCUUUUUCUUUCUUUCUUUUUUUUUUUUUUGAGACAGAGUUUUGUUCUUGUUGCCCAGGCUGGAGUGCAGUGGUACGAUCUCAGCUCACUGCAACCUCCACCUUCCAGUUUGAAACUAUUCUCCUGCCUCAGCCUCCCAAGUAGCUAGGAUUACAAGUGCCCACCACCACGCCCAGUUAAUUUUUGUAUUUUUUAGUAGAGCCGGGGUUUCACCAUGUUGGCCAGACUGUUCUCAAACUCCUGACCUCGUGAUCCACCCACCUCAGCCUUCCAAAGUGCUGGGAUUACAGGCGUGAGCCACCGCGCCCAGCCAACAUGUACAUGUCUUUAGAAAAGAUGCAAAAGAGUAGUGCCACAUGAUUCCAUUAAGUUCUAGAACAGCCAAAAUUAAUCCAUGGUAGAAGAUAUCAGAACAGAGGAGGGACGAUGAUGACUGGGACAAGAUAGGGUGUUGUUUCUUGAGUGAUGAGACUGUUCUAUCUCUUGGUAGGGCUGUUCGUAACACAGGUGUCAAAAUUCAAGAACUGUAAACACUUAAGACCUGUGCAUUCCACUGAAUAUAAACCAUACCUCAAUUAAAAAGAGGAAAAAUUAAGAAAUUUUUAAGCAUGAACAUUGAACAAUAAAUAAAUAUAUAACAUUAAUGAGUGUCCCAUAAAUUAGUUAGUGUUAAUUAGAAAACCCCACUGUGUUUUCUCAGAAUUUAUAGUAACCAUAAUCACAAUAAUAGCUACAAACUUUCUCACCUUUAAAUGUCAUCACAACUUUAGGAAACAGGUUAUAUCUUAUAUUAUUAUUAUUAUUAUUAUUAUUAUUAUUAUUAUUAUUAUUUUACAUUUUAACAUCUCUGAAACAGGGAUGUGUCCUACAAUCACCAUCAGCCAGGAAGUGGUCAGGAUGCAGUGGUUAUAACUGGAUUAUUUUCCCUGGCCUGGCUGACCAUCUGCAACCCCCUGGUGUUUCAAUGUACAAACUAUUUUAGGACCAUCUGCGUACUGGCUGUUGCCUGAAAAUCUUGUGUUGAUGUGGAUUUGUAAGACUGGGAAAGCACCAGCAUUCAAAACUUGAAGAAAGGUGUUAGCAGUUUGGCAGACAAUCCUACAGAAAACUCUUUAUUCUUGGGGGAGAAAAAGUUGCCUCCCAU
rnacentral:lncRNA from 1 species